AUUGAACGCUGGCGGAAUGCUUUACACAUGCAAGUCGAACGGCAGCACGGGUGCUUGCACCUGGUGGCGAGUGGCGAACGGGUGAGUAAUACAUCGGAACGUACCCAGUCGUGGGGGAUAACGUAGCGAAAGUUACGCUAAUACCGCAUACGUCCUGAGGGAGAAAGCGGGGGACCGUAAGGCCUCGCGCGAUUGGAGCGGCCGAUGGCGAACUAGCUAGUUGGUGGGGUAAAGGCCUACCAAGGCGACGAUCCGUAGCGGGUCUGAGAGGACGGCCCGCCAAAGUGGAACUGAGAAACGGUCCAGACUCCAACGGGAGGCGGCAGUGGGGAAUUUUGGACAAUGGGCGAAAGCCUGAUCCAGCCAUUCCGCGUGAGUGAAGAAGGCCUCCGGGUUGUAAAGCUCUUUCGGCAGGGAAGAAACGGCUUGGGAUAAUACCCCGGGCUAAUGACGGUACCUGAAGAAGAAGCACCGGCUAACUACGUGCCAGCAGCCGCCGUAA
rnacentral:rRNA from 1 species